UACGUAGGGGGCAAGCGUUAUCCGGAAUCAUUGGGCGUAAAGCGCGUGUAGGCGGUUCCGUAAGUCCGCUCUGAAAGCCCAGGGCUCAACCCUGGGAGGCGGGUGGAUACUACGGAACUGGAGUACGGAAGAGGAGAUUGGAAUUCCUGGUGUAGCGGUGGAAUGCGCAGAUAUCAGGAGGAACACCGAUGGCGAAGGCAGAUCUCUGGGCCGUAACUGACGCUGAGGAGCGAAAGCGUGGGGAGCGAACAGG
rnacentral:rRNA from 1 species